rnacentral:rRNA from 1 species
UACGGAGGGUCCGAGCGUUAAUCGGAAUUACUGGGCGUAAAGCGCGCGUAGGCGGUUAGAUCAGUCGGGUGUGAAAGCCCCGGGCUCAACCUGGGAACUGCAUUCGAUACUGUCUGACUGGAGUAUGGGAGAGGGCAGUGGAAUUCCACGUGUAGCGGUGAAAUGCGUAGAUAUGUGGAGGAACACCAGUGGCGAAGGCGACUGCCUGGCCCAAUACUGACGCUGAGGUGCGAAAGCGUGGGGAGCGAACAGG